AAGCUCUGGGAGGUUUUACUCUUGGCAUUUGAAAAAGGCCACUCUGCCAGGUAGCCCAACCCUGACCUAAAGAGAAUUCCCAGAAGUCUUUCCUGGGAUUUGAAUUUGCAGUAACCGGUGUGAGCAUUCUAGCAGCAGUUUGGUGAUCAUGUACGAUACUGCAAACAGGA
rnacentral:snoRNA from 1 species